AAGGUGGUCUUUAUUUUUCGAUUUUCAAAUUUUUUCUGCGGCACCCUCCAAAAAGUUUCCAUUUGACAAAAAAGAAAUCCCUUCCAAACUUUUGCUCGAUCGGAUAACGAGAACUCAUGCUCCCGGGUCGUUAAACAUUGGAAUACUCUUGUAUUAAGCUGUCUACUUUAUCAAAAUGGUUUCUAAAGCAUGUUCUUCACAAAAAUUGCCCUAGAGGACUUUUCUUUUUUCUUUCCACAUCAUUUGAGAUAUUACAGUUUUAUUUGAACAAUUAGAUAAAUUGUGUAUGACUAAAAAAUAAAAAUAAAUAGUUAUUGCAUUUAUUGUUUGAGCUACAACAAAUCAUGUAUGAACUACAAAAGUUGCAAUAUUAUGUUUAUAGGACAAUAUAAGUGUAAAACAUGUUACCUUUUAUGUUUUUAUUCAUAAAGAAAUUUUUUAAAUUAAAUAUUACAUAAUAAUUAAUAACCUCAUGGCUCGUAAUCUUAUGCUGGGAGAUAUAUAAUACCUAGGCCGCGGGUUUUCCCAUUGUCUGUACGCGUCAAACAAUAUAAAGAAACAGCAUUCUUUUGGUAAAAAGUCUGUCUUUUUCUAACGAAGGCUAUUUUAUUUCCACUACUUAUCGUGGUCUUGUGGCGGGAAUAAAGCAGGCUUCGUUAGAAAGAAACAGAUUUUUUACCGAAAGAAUGCUAUUUCUUUAUAUUGUUUGACGCGUUCAGACAAUAGGAAACGUUGCGAAUCCGCAGCCUAGGUAUUAUAUAGUUUGUUUAAUAAAAGCGUGUCCCGCAAAAUUUUUACGUAUAAACGGGUAGAUGGAAAAUUCAAACAGGAGCCGGUAGGCACCUUUCGCCUAGGAUGCUUUAUUGAUAAAGCUUUAGUUGUUAUUCGAUCUUCGUGAUAAAAAUAUAUAUUUCGCUAUGAAUGUCAAAUAUACAUCGUGUUUCGAAGUCGUAUUUCUUUGUACACAUUCGAAAGGAUCAAAAAUGUCAUGCCAAGCGGCUGCUAAGUACAUGAGAAAGUCAAAAACAUUUGUAAAUAAGUAGGUCGCUACUUAGAGGUGAAAAAUGUCGAUAACUUACCGAAACGUAGCUUUACGCAAGAAUUUGGCAUUUUGCAUAUCUUCACAAACUGCUUAAACUAGCAAAAUGGUCAAAAUUUAUGAGAAGGCUUUAUUACUAUCUGCUUAAACAUGGUUUAUAAGGAAAAACGAAAAAUGGAUACUACAAGAGGACAAUGACCCUAAACAUCAAAGUCGGCUUUGUACCGCGUAAAUAAGAAAAUAAUGUUAAAUUAUACUACUUGUCUCGCUCUCGAUGAUAGUAUAACAAGUAUAGUUGUCUCUGUUCUCUCGGUAUUUCACAACGUUCAGCAUGUAGAAAAGAGAUGGCUCUCCUAGCGACCUCUCUGUAGGGCCCUCGCUUCUCUACGCCAUCUACGAUCAUAUUAGGCCUGUUCUUUGUAGCUGCACUACUGAACUAGUGCAAUAAGUUAGAGUGAGAAAACGUAUAUUUGUUUCACUUCAAUAUAUUGCACCAGUUCAGCAGUGCAACUACAAAGAACAGGCCUAUUGUUUUGUUGUGCUUGGUACAUCGGACGUUCUUGUGUAGCUAGUCCUUAAAUAUCAAUAAAAAUUGAUAAAAGUAGGUUUUAUUCGGAGAGGUCGAAGGCAAAGAAAAGAAAGCAUUCAAGGUCAGAGUCAAGAGAUAGGAAGAGGAAGAGUAAUGGGACUGAUGAGAAACUUCAAAAGAUGCAAGAGCAACUGAAUAACCUCACUUCGAUUGUUACGACAUUAGUACAAGCGGGAGAAGUGCCCAGAGCUUUGGGACAAGAAAAUAGUCAGAUACUCGAUAAAAAUCGAGCGGACGCUCUGAUGAUAGAAGAGAAUAAAGAGAAUGGGUUAACACCUAAUAUUAACACAGAUUAUCAGGAUCUGACUGGAAAAGAAAUUGUAAUGGAGGAAGUUCUAAAAUUUUAGGUGAGGAUGAGAAUUCUGCAAAAUUAAUAGAAGUAAAAAUUCAUCCUGAGUUGAACCAGAGAUUGCGGUUAAAAGAGAUCAACAUUUUGUUGAGACACAGAGUUGUGUCGGAUCGGCGAUUUCAACUUUAGCAGCUGCAGUAUCUAUGUUGCUAGAUGUUCAAGAGGAAGGCAUAAACCAAGAGAAAUUCACAAAAUACCUGUGUGAUACAGGUCAAUUGUUAACGGAGAUAUAUCAUCAACAGUCGCUAACACGGAAGGCGUUCAUUACAUCUUUAAUGAACAAGACGGUUAAACCGACUUUGGAGGCGACAAAAGCAGAUCAAUGGUUAUAUGGUGAGAAGUUUGGCGAACAAGUUAAAGAAGCAAAGUCUUUGGAAAAAGCUUGUGCUGCCAUUAGAGUUCCGGAGAAAAAUACGAGUUUUACGAAACAUCAAAAAGCAUGGAGUCAGGGAAAUGUGAGGGGCCCACCUGUCAGACGGCAGGUGGGCUAUCAGCGAUAUCAACAGGGACUCUACUAGCGAAAGAAUGUUAGGUAAAAUUAUAGAAAAAUGUACAAAGGUUAAUGGACAGUUUAUUUCACCAUAUUUUCUGGUUAAAAAACCAGAUGGAUCAAAUAGAUUCAUUUUAAAUCUUAAGAAUUUAAAUCAAUUCAUUGACACUGUCCAUUUUAAGAUGGAAGACAUUAGGACAGUUAAAAGUUUGUUAACGCAAGGAGCCUAUAUGGGGGUAAUAGAUUUAAAAGAUGCUUACCAUGUAAUUCCUAUACACGAAGAUCAUAGGAAAUUUCUUCGUUUUAAGUUUUUGGAUAGAUUAUAUCAAUUUACUUGCUUAUCUUUCGGACUCUGUACCAGCCCGUAUGUAUUUACAAAAUUGAUGAAGCCAGUUGUUAACUAUUUAAGACAGCAAGGAAUAGUUUCAGUAAUAUAUUUAGAUGAUAUAAUUUUUAUACACGAGGUUGAGGAAGUCUGUCGAGCAAAUAAUAAGGCACUAGAACUAUUAAAACGUUUAGGAUUCAUUAUAAAUUAUCAGAAAAGCUCGUUACAACCUCGAACAGAAUGUAACUAUCUAGGUUUUAAUAUUAAUUCAGAGGUGUUUUCCUUAGGAUUAACAGCAAAAAAAGAGACUGCAGAUUACCAGUUUAUUGAAUCAGUUUCAAGAAGGGAAGUGGUACAGAAUUCGAGAAAUAGCAAGAUUAUUAGGCGUUUUAACGGCAGCUAGCCCGGCAAUAGCGUAUAGUAAAGUGUAUACAAAAGAGUUAGAGAGAGAAAAAGCUCUAGCAUUAUUAAUUAAUAAUCAAAAUUUUGAAGGCCGGCUGUACAUGAAAAAACAAUAGCAUACGUUAACAAGGCAGAGGGGGAAUAAAAUUUCCUCACCUUAGCAAGCUAGCGCGUAGAAUAUGGCAGUGGUGCGAAACGAGAAAAUUGUGGAUUAUGGCGUCGUAUAUUCCAUCAAGCAAAAAUAUAGAGGCAGAUAUAGCA